rnacentral:rRNA from 1 species
GACGAACGCUGGCGGCGUACUUAACACAUGCAAGUCGAACGAUGAAGCCUAGCUUGCUAGGUGGAUUAGUGGCGAACGGGUGAGUAAUACGUGAGUAACCUACCUUUAACUCUGGGAUAAGCCUGGGAAACUGGGUCUAAUACCGGAUACGACCAAUCUCCGCAUGGGGUGUUGGUGGAAAGCGUUAUGUAGUGGUUAUAGAUGGGCUCACGGCCUAUCAGCUUGUUGGUGAGGUAACGGCUCACCAAGGCGACGACGGGUAGCCGGCCUGAGAGGGUGACCGGCCACACUGGGACUGAGACACGGCCCAGACUCCUACGGGAGGCAGCAGUGGGGAAUAUUGCACAAUGGGCGCAAGCCUGAUGCAGCGACGCCGCGUGAGGGAUGACGGCCUUCGGGUUGUAAACCUCUGUUAGCAGGGAAGAAGAGAAAUUGACGGUACCUGCAGAGAAAGCGCCGGCUAACUACGUGCCAGCAGCCGCGGUAAUACGUAGGGCGCGAGCGUUGUCCGGAAUUAUUGGGCGUAAAGAGCUUGUAGGCGGUUUGUCGCGUCUGCUGUGAAGGCCGGGGCUUAACCCCGUGUAUUGCAGUGGGUACGGGCAGACUAGAGUGCAGUAGGGGAGACUGGAACUCCUGGUGUAGCGGUGGAAUGCGCAGAUAUCAGGAAGAACACCGAUGGCGAAGGCAGGUCUCUGGGCUGUAACUGACGCUGAGAAGCGAAAGCAUGGGGAGCGAACAGGAUUAGAUACCCUGGUAGUCCAUGCCGUAAACGUUGGGCACUAGGUGUGGGGGACAUUCCACGUUUUCCGCGCCGUAGCUAACGCAUUAAGUGCCCCGCCUGGGGAGUACGGCCGCAAGGCUAAAACUCAAAGAAAUUGACGGGGGCCCGCACAAGCGGCGGAGCAUGCGGAUUAAUUCGAUGCAACGCGAAGAACCUUACCAAGGCUUGACAUAUACUGGACCGCAUCAGAGAUGGUGUUUCCCUUCGGGGCUGGUAUACAGGUGGUGCAUGGUUGUCGUCAGCUCGUGUCGUGAGAUGUUGGGUUAAGUCCCGCAACGAGCGCAACCCUCGUUCUAUGCUGCCAGCACGUUAUGGUGGGGACUCAUAGGAGACUGCCGGGGUCAACUCGGAGGAAGGUGGGGAUGACGUCAAAUCAUCAUGCCCCUUAUGUCUUGGGCUUCACGCAUGCUACAAUGGCCGGUACAGAGGGUUGCGAUACUGUGAGGUGGAGCUAAUCCCUAAAAGCCGGUCUCAGUUCGGAUUGGGGUCUGCAACUCGACCCCAUGAAGUCGGAGUCGCUAGUAAUCGCAGAUCAGCAACGCUGCGGUGAAUACGUUCCCGGGCCU